rnacentral:rRNA from 1 species
AACGUAGGAGACAAACGUUAUCCGGAGUUACUGGGCGUAAAGGGCGUGUAGGUGGCUUCGUAAGUCUGGCGUGAAAUUUUUCGGCUUAACCGGGAAAGGUCGUCGGAUACUGCGGAACUAGAGGACGGUAGAGGCGUGUGGAAUUCCGGGUGUAGUGGUGAAAUGCGUAGAGAUCCGGAGGAACACCAGUGGCGAAGGCGACACGCUGGGCCGUACCUGACACUGAUGCGCGAAGGCAAGGGGAGCAAACAGG